AGUGAACGCUGGCGGUAGGCCUAACACAUGCCAGUCGAACGGCAGCACAGUAAGAGCUUGCUCUUACGGGUGGCGAGUGGCGGACGGGUGAGGAAUACAUCGGAAUCUACUUUUUCGUGGGGGAUAACGUAGGGAAACUUACGCUAAUACCGCAUACGACCUACGGGUGAAAGCAGGGGAUCUUCGGACCUUGCGCGAUUGAAUGAGCCGAUGUCGGAUUAGCUAGUUGGCGGGGUAAAGGCCCACCAAGGCGACGAUCCGUAGCUGGUCUGAGAGGAUGAUCAGCCAAACUGGACCUGAGACACGGUCCAGACUCCUACGGGAGGCAGCAGUGGGGAAUAUUGGACAAUGGGCGCAAGCCUGAUCCAGCCAUACCGCGUGGGUGAAGAAGGCCUUCGGGUUGUAAAGCCCUUUUGUUGGGAAAGAAAAGCAGCAGGUUAAUACCCCGCUGUUCUGACGGUACCCAAAGAAUAAGCACCGGCUAACUUCGUG
rnacentral:rRNA from 1 species